CCAAGGUUCCGUAGGUGAACCUGCGGAAGGAUCAUUA
rnacentral:rRNA from 1 species